rnacentral:rRNA from 1 species
GACGAACGCUGGCGGCGUGCUUAACACAUGCAAGUCGAACGGUAAGGCCCUUCGGGGUACACGAGUGGCGAACGGGUGAGUAACACGUGGGUGAUCUGCCCUGCACUUCGGGAUAAGCCUGGGAAACUGGGUCUAAUACCGGAUAGGACCCUGGGAUGCAUGUCCUGGGGUGGAAAGCUUUUGCGGUGUGGGAUGGGCCCGCGGCCUAUCAGCUUGUUGGUGGGGUGUUGGCCUACCAAGGCGACGACGGGUAGCCGGCCUGAGAGGGUGACCGGCCACACUGGGACUGAGAUACGGCCCAGACUCGUACGGGAGGCAGCAGUGGGGAAUAUUGCACAAUGGGCGCAAGCCUGAUGCAGCGACGCCGCGUGCGGGAUGACGGCCUUCGGGUUGUAAACCUCUUUCAGCACCGACGAAGCGCAAGUGACGGUAGGUGCAGAAGAAGGACCGGCCAACUACGUGCCAGCCGCCGCAGUAA